GUAGGGAAUAUUGGACAAUGGGGGGAACCCUGAUCCAGCCAUGCCGCGUGGAGGAAGACUGCCCUCUGGGUUGUAAACUCCUUUUAUAUGGGAAGAACCGUCCUCAUUAAUGGGUGACCUGACGGUACCAUAGGAAUAAGCACCGGCUAACUCCGUGCCAGCAGCCGCGGUAAUACGGAGGGUGCAAGCGUUAUCCGGAUUCACUGGGUUUAAAGGGUGCGUAGGCGGAUAAAUAAGUCAGUGGUGAAAUCAACGGGCUCAACCUGUUAACUGCCAUUGAUACUGUGUAUCUUGAAUAUGAGAGAGGUAGGCGGAAUGUUGCAUGUAGCGGUGAAAUGCUUAGAUAUGCUACGGAACACCGAUUGCGAAGGCAGCUUACUAUUUCGUAAUUGACGCUGAGGCACGAAAGCGUGGGUAGCGAACAGGAUUAGAAACCCCGGUAGUCC
rnacentral:rRNA from 1 species